rnacentral:rRNA from 1 species
AUUGAACGCUAGCUACAGGCUUAACACAUGCAAGUCGAGGGACCGGCGCACGGGUGAGUAACACGUAUCCAACCUACCCUUUACUCGGGGAUAGCCUUUCGAAAGAAAGAUUAAUACCCGAUAUAAAGGAUGGGGAUGCGUUCCAUUAGGUUGUUGGUGAGGUAACGGCUCACCAAGCCUUCGAUGGAUAGGGGUUCUGAGGGGAAAGUCCCCCUCAUUUGAACUGAGGCACGGUCCAAACUCCUACGGGAGGCAGGAGGGGAGGAUAGUGGUCCAUGGGCGCUGGCCCGAACCAGCCAAGUAGCGGGAAGGAUGAAGGCUUAUGGGUCGUAAACUUCUUUUAUAUAAGAAUAUGUAUUAUAUGAAUAAGGAUCGGCUAACUCCGUGCCAGCAGCCGCGGUAAUAC